rnacentral:rRNA from 1 species
CCUGAAUCUCGGUAAUCAAUGGCCACUAGUCGUGUUGUACACUUGGAAACACGACGAGACAGGUGGAUCCAGAGGCCGGGACAUGAGAUGUAUCCCGGCAAACGACGGCCUUAGAAUCCGAACACGGGUCAAAAUGAGCGCCGGGGGCAGGCCUAACACAUGCAAGUCGGAGCGGAUGACGGGAGCUUGCUCCUUGAUUCAGCGGCGGACGGGUGAGUAAUGCCUAGGAAUCUGCCUGGCAGUGGGGGACAACGUUUCGAAAGGAACGCUAAUACCGCAUACGUCCUACGGGAGAAAGCAGGGGACCUUCGGGCCUUGCGCUAUCAGAUGAGCCUAGGUCGGAUUAGCUUGUUGGUGAGGUAAUGGCUCACCAAGGCGACGAUCCGUAACUGGUCUGAGAGGAUGAUCAGUCACACUGGAACUGAGACACGGUCCAGACUCCUACGGGAGGCAGC